GUAUAAUGAUGAAGCACAUGCGUGUCAACUGACUCUGUAGCACCCUGUUGUGUGGUGGCACUGGUUGGCGUUUUGCUGACUUGUGUCUUCUAGACAAAAGGGGCUCAGGGACAUGAUCACACCUAUACAACUUCUGAAUGC
ensembl:snoRNA small nucleolar RNA, C/D box 10